AAGACUAUACUUUCAGGGAUCAUUUCUAUAGUUCGUUACUAAAGAAGUUUCUCUGAACGUGUAGUGCACCAGUACAAACAAAUGG
rnacentral:snoRNA from 1 species